UACGAAGGGGGCUAGCGUUGUUCGGAUUUACUGGGCGUAAAGCGCGUGUAGGCGGGUCGUUAAGUUGGGGGUGAAAUCCCGAGGCUCAACCUCGGAACUGCCUUCAAAACUGGCGACCUGGAGCAAGAUAGAGGCAAGUGGAAUUGCGAGUGUAGAGGUGAAAUUCGUAGAUAUUCGCAGGAACACCAGUGGCGAAGGCGACUUGCUGGAUCUUUGCUGACGCUGAGACGCGAAAGCGUGGGGAGCAAACAGG
rnacentral:rRNA from 2 species